UGGUAACCCAGGCAAUUUGAAUGGUCUCGAAACCCUAGCCCUCUCGGUAGCCGUCGCUCGGCAGUAGCCUCCCUCCCUGAUAUCCCCCUUACCUCGUACUCCCCCUUACUAGAUCUUACCGUUUUCCCCUUAAUCGCUACAACCCGCAUCACCUCUGCCAGACUCGGGUCUCUUCGUCACUGGGCGACAGGUAGGAACCCUUCCUGCCUCUCCCAGACUCGGGUCCCUUUGUCACAGGGCGACGGGUGCCUCUCACCGGCCAUCGUCGUAGUCUGCCUAAGCUUCCCUAAGGGCCAUUACAAUGCCUCGCCACUGACGAUAUAUUGCUCCAGUUUGGGUUUGCUCCUUCAUCGGCGCUGCUGUCCUUUUCGCAGGGAUCUCUGUGUCGCCCAAUCUCCCCCGUAAGUUUAGAAGGAGUUAUAGUUGAAGAUUUAGACAAUGGCAGUCAAUUGGUACACAACAAUGGAUAAAGAUGGCCUCUUCAGGUAUGUGUUCGGCUUUGGGAGCAAGACGGUAUAAACUCGGUAAAGAAGUAAUCUUCAAGUAAAGAACAUCUCCGCGGGUGAAGAAUUGGGGUAAUCGAAUGAUAUGGCUGCCUAGUUUAGGAUUUCAUUUUAUGGAAAGGGAGAUUACAUUAGUAUUUUUCUAAUGAGUGUAAUUACUCUUACUUUUCAAUGUAGUUUGUGUUGGAAAAUUAUUUUCCAAUCUAUAUUGUAAUGAAUCUUCAUCUAAUGGUUGAAUUAUUUAUUUUACAUUGA